rnacentral:rRNA from 1 species
CCUACGGGAGGCAGCAGUAGGGAAUUUUCCGCAAUGGGCGAAAGCCUGACCGAGCAACGCCGCGUGAACGAAGAAGGUCUUCGGAUUGUAAAGUUCUGUUAUAGAGGAGGAACAGUGUACGUAGGAAAUGGCGUACAAAUGACGGUACUCUGUGAGGAAGCCACGGCUAACUACGUGCCAGCAGCCGCGGUAAUACGUAGGUGGCGAGCGUUGUCCGGAAUCAUUGGGCGUAAGGAGGGAUCAGGCGGCCUGGAGGGUCUAUUGUUAAAAGGCAAGGUCUUACCAAUAGUAAGCAGAAGAAACCGUCAGGCUAGAGUUCUAAAGAGGAUAGUGGAAUUCCAUGUGUAGCGGUGAAAUGCGUAGAUAUAUGGAGGAACACCAGUGGCGAAGGCGACGAUCUGGGAAGAAACAGACGCUGAGUCCCGAAAGCGUGGGGAGCAAACAGGAUUAGAUACCCGGGUAGUC